AAUAGAUCCCCGGUAGUCCACGCCGUAAACGAUGAGUGCUAGGUGUUGGGGGUUUCAAUACCCUCAGUGCCGCAGCUAACGCAAUAAGCACUCCGCCUGGGGAGUACGCUCGCAAGAGUGAGACUCAAAGGAAUUGACGGGGGCCCGCACAAGCGGUGGAGCAUGUGGUUUAAUUCGAAGCAACGCGAAGAACCUUACCAGGUCUUGACAUCCCACUGACCGUCCUAGAGAUAGGGCUUCCCUUCGGGGCAGCGGUGACAGGUGGUGCAUGGUUGUCGUCAGCUCGUGUCGUGAGAUGUUGGGUUAAGUCCCGCAACGAGCGCAACCCUUAUCUUUAGUUGCCAGCAUUCAGUUGGGCACUCUAGAGAGACUGCCGUCGACAAGACGGAGGAAGGCGGGGAUGACGUCAAAUCAUCAUGCCCCUUAUGACCUGGGCUACACACGUGCUACAAUGGCUGGUACAACGGGAUGCUAGCUCGCGAGAGUACGCCAAUCUACUAAAAACCAGUCUCAGUUCGGU
rnacentral:rRNA from 1 species